rnacentral:rRNA from 1 species
UACGAAGGGUGCAAGCGUUAAUCGGAAUUACUGGGCGUAAAGCGUGCGCAGGCGGCUUUGCAAGACAGAUGUGAAAUCCCCGGGCUCAACCUGGGAACUGCAUUUGUGACUGCAAGGCUAGAGUACGGCAGAGGGGGAUGGAAUUCCGCGUGUAGCAGUGAAAUGCGUAGAUAUGCGGAGGAACACCAAUGGCGAAGGCAAUCCCCUGGGCCUGUACUGACGCUCAUGCACGAAAGCGUGGGGAGCAAACAG